CCGAAGCGUAGCUUGCGGCCUGGCUCGUAAGUGCGUGCCGGAUCAGAGCCAGUGUCGCUGUGCAACAAACACUGAAGGAGUGCAACCAAUACCUCCAGUUUAACACCAAUACGGAGGAUGUUGCAACAGAUGGAAUAGGGGUAUUCUAUCUUUUUGAAGCCGUUCUUUUAUAACAGGCUUCAUUACAAUCUUAUAAAAAGAAAUUUGACAUUAAAAGUAGUAUAUCGUCCAGACCAUCUAUGGACGAACGCAUUAAUUUAAUGCGUAAAAUAUUGAAAAAUUAUGAUAGUAAAACCGGUACAAAGCCACCAGAAGAUCCAAAUGAUGAUAUAAUCUUAUUUGGUGGCGGUAUUAGGCGAGAUGAUAAAUAAUUGUCAUAAUAAAAUGACGGGCAUGUCUCUUCAGAGUGUAGGAAGGGGAUAAAGUGCUUCGGGUGCGGAAGACUUGGUGUUGUGAAGCGGGACUGUCUGGCGUGUGCUGCGAAGCCGAGUGGCUCCCCGAGAACCCUAAGAAGUUCGGCUUCCAGAGCGAUAGGGUUGUCAGAUCGGACAACAGAUCGGGAAACGGGAGAUAGACCCCUGGGACAGCAGGACAGGUGGUCUCAUAGGGGGAGUUAGUGAACCUGCUAAGUGAUGAAAUUCAUAUUAAAUAAACAAUAAGAAAUAGUAUAAAUAGGUUUAAGUGUAAAAUGUAAGGGGGACUUUUGAAGCAACGGCUUAAUUUGUUUUUCUUUUUAAAAACAUUUCGCGACCGGGCAAAAAAAUAAGUGGCGAUGCUGCCAGGAGAUGUAAAAAAAUCUCUUGAACUCAAAUAAAAAUUUUUUUUUUGGCAACUAAAAAAGGAGACAAAAAUCUCCAGUUGUCCAAAAUAAAGAAACAAGUAUCGUAAUAAAUACGAGAAAAGUAAAACAAAAACCGAAAAAACUUUGAACAUGAAGGAUAUGAUUAUUAACGGUGAUAGUGACCAGACAUCAACAGGGAGAUAUAACAGAUUAUUAUUAACGGUUGAACGGAUUAUCCGAUUUUCUUUGUUCUUAUUUUCGAGUAGAACGCCAUUUUUUAUGGUUUUCUCCGCAUUAGAUGGAAGUGAAAAAUAUACAAGCUAUGGUAAUAAUAUAUUUUGGAUUAAUUAAUUACUCCAUUUUUCAUUGCUUUUUACAUUUGUUUAUUAUCGUACGAAAAGAUAAACUAAUAGAGCAGUUUGACUGGAAUGGACGCUUCUCAUCUAGCCGCAGUAGCAGAUUUAAAAAUAUUCGACAAAACUUUGCUUUGAGGUGCAACUGCAUUUAGACAUUAAUGACAUUCUGAUUCGAAUAUUCAUUUUUUUUAUUGUACUUAGGCAUCUUUAUACUUCAAAGGAGUUGUGAUAAUUACGGAGGCGUUCGUGGGGCUUAGGAGCUGCGUCACCAACGCAUGACACUAUUAUAGACUUUUGCAUAUGUGGGUUUGCUAACAAAAUUUUGCAGAUUUUUGAAAAUGAAUUUAUUGCUAUAUUAUUAUUUCCUUGUAUGUAUAAACAAUGUACCUGAUCUAUGUAAAAAUAUUGAAAAAAAGGCUGAAUCAUAAUAAUGUUUGUAUGUAUGUAUAUAUUGUAAGAGGCAGUAUGUAUAUAGUACGUAUGCAUAUACCACCUUAGGUUUAGUUUUAAGUCUUAGUCUUAGUACUUUAUUAUGUGUAAAUUAGAAACUAGGUGGCAACUCUAGCUUAUAAGAUAUUUAUCGAUAACUGGCGAUUAAGACUCCAUGUACGUUACAAUUACGCAAUUUUAAAAAUAAAGAAGAGAAACCAUUCUGUUUUAUACAAUUGAACUAAACGGUUGUGUUAUUUGGCUAUCCUGGACCUUUCAUCAGAAGUGGUCUUAGACCUACAAAAUAUACAAAAACGCAAAGCCAAUAUCAGUGUUUAACUUUAAAUCAAAAGCAUUUCAAAAUGAAUUGCGAAACAAUUGACGCUGAAAAAUACAUACUUCUCCAACUCAAAGCGUGGUGUACAGCAGAGGGCAUAAAUGCUAGUGGGGCAAAAGCUUCGUUAGCGGCAAGAUUGAAUGAUUUGUCCGCUGAAGCCCGUGGAUUAUGCCCAAGUACAAGUGGACCAUCAAGCAGGAGAAGUUACUUAAGCGACAACAACGAAGAAAGUGACCACGACGAAGCGGACGAGAAAGCAAAUUUAAUUGGCAAAGGCGAGGAAAAUACAGUGAACGACGGUGAGAAAAACGUAGCGGUCAACGUACAGAAAAAUGUAGCGGAUAACGGAUCACAAAGUAGCGUUACAUCCAACAAAAACAACGAAGCGACAGUGUGCUAUACAUCUUAAGUUAAAAGGAGCGGCUUAGCAUGGUAUAAUGCGAAAACGACCAUACCAGAAAAUGUCGACUAACUACUCAAAGAAAUGAAGUAUGUGUUUGGAGGCGCUGAAAGUGUCCUCGUGCGUCGACGCAAAUUUGAGAGAAAGUAUUCUCAUUAAUAAAAAAGAAAUACUGAAAACACAACUGAUACCAUCCGAGCAUCGUAUCAAACGUGUCCAUAUUUUUUUUUGGCUCAAUUUUGAAAUUUAUAACAGGUCUUAACCAGUUAAUAGAAUAAUAAUAAUCUACAAAGACAAAUUAAUUCACAAUCUUAGAGAAAAUCCUAGAAGCUUUAGAUACAAAAUCCAUAACAAAAACAUUAAUUAUUAGGGAAAUAUAAGAUAACACAACAGCUUACAAUAAUUUUUGCGAAUUGGGCAAUAACCCAUGCACCUCGAUAAACAACGCUUCACGCGAGUUACAUAUGGAAAUUAUAACAAAUCAGCAAUUAGCGAUAUUGACCAAUUUAUUAACUGCAUAACAAGCAUAAUGUUAAUCACCACAUCCUUUGGCUGGUUGGCCUUUGCCAUAAACUCUCGUUGGUAUUGUUUUUUUUUUUUUUUUUAACUCCCCUGACGGACUCGAUUAGGAAAGUGGCGCAGUCGGUAAUCCUUUUUAUCAACAAAAAAAAGGAUAGUGAUACGAACACGAAAUAAGAAACGUGAACGUAUAUAUAUAAAAAUAAAAUAAAAAAAAAAUAUAAAAAAACCCUUACUAAUCCUGCGAUUCCGUAGCCAACUCAAGAGUUGACCGGACCCUCUAGGAUAUAACAUAAUAUAUAUAAAUCAAACAUACAGUGUGGCAGUGCAGUGACUUUUCAAGGAAACCACCCACAUACAAAAAUAAAGUGAGAGUGCAGCGGACCAAAGCUCUUGCGAA